UACGUAGGGGGCGAGCGUUGUCCGGAAUCAUUGGGCGUAAAGCGCGUGUAGGCGGCCCGGUAAGUCCGCUGUGAAAGUCCAGGGCUCAACCCUGGGAUGCCGGUGGAUACUGUCGGGCUCGAGUCCGGAAGAGGCGAGUGGAAUUCCUGGUGUAGCGGUGAAAUGCGCAGAUAUCAGGAGGAACACCAAUGGCGAAGGCAGCUCGCUGGGACGUGACUGACGCUGAGACGCAAAAGCGUGGGGAGCAAACAGG
rnacentral:rRNA from 1 species